GGGUUGUGAGGUUAAGCGACUAAGCGUACACGGUGGAUGCCCUGGCAGUCAGAGGCGAUGAAGGACGUGCUAAUCUGCGAUAAGCGUCGGUAAGGUGAUAUGAACCGUUAUAACCGGCGAUUUCCGAAUGGGGAAACCCAGUGUGAUUCGUCACACUAUCAUUAACUGAAUCCAUAGGUUAAUGAGGCGAACCGGGGGAACUGAAACAUCUAAGUACCCCGAGGAAAAGAAAUCAACCGAGAUUCCCCCAGUAGCGGCGAGCGAACGGGGAGGAGCCCAGAGCCUGAAUCAGUGUGUGUGUUAGUGGAAGCGUCUGGAAAGGCGCGCGAUACAGGGUGACAGCCCCGUACACAAAAAUGCACAUGCUGUGAGCUCGAUGAGUAGGGCGGGACACGUGGUAUCCUGUCUGAAUAUGGGGGGACCAUCCUCCAAGGCUAAAUACUCCUGACUGACCGAUAGUGAACCAGUACCGUGAGGGAAAGGCGAAAAGAACCCCGGCGAGGGGAGUGAAAAAGAACCUGAAACCGUGUACGUACAAGCAGUGGGAGCACGCUUAGGCGUGUGACUGCGUACCUUUUGUAUAAUGGGUCAGCGACUUAUAUUCUGUAGCAAGGUUAACCGAAUAGGGGAGCCGAAGGGAAACCGAGUCUUAACUGGGCGUUAAGUUGCAGGGUAUAGACCCGAAACCCGGUGAUCUAGCCAUGGGCAGGUUGAAGGUUGGGUAACACUAACUGGAGGACCGAACCGACUAAUGUUGAAAAAUUAGCGGAUGACUUGUGGCUGGGGGUGAAAGGCCAAUCAAACCGGGAGAUAGCUGGUUCUCCCCGAAAGCUAUUUAGGUAGCGCCUCGUGAAUUCAUCUCCGGGGGUAGAGCACUGUUUCGGCAAGGGGGUCAUCCCGACUUACCAACCCGAUGCAAACUGCGAAUACCGGAGAAUGUUAUCACGGGAGACACACGGCGGGUGCUAACGUCCGUCGUGAAGAGGGAAACAACCCAGACCGCCAGCUAAGGUCCCAAAGUCAUGGUUAAGUGGGAAACGAUGUGGGAAGGCCCAGACAGCCAGGAUGUUGGCUUAGAAGCAGCCAUCAUUUAAAGAAAGCGUAAUAGCUCACUGGUCGAGUCGGCCUGCGCGGAAGAUGUAACGGGGCUAAACCAUGCACCGAAGCUGCGGCAGCGACACUAUGUGUUGUUGGGUAGGGGAGCGUUCUGUAAGCCUGCGAAGGUGUGCUGUGAGGCAUGCUGGAGGUAUCAGAAGUGCGAAUGCUGACAUAAGUAACGAUAAAGCGGGUGAAAAGCCCGCUCGCCGGAAGACCAAGGGUUCCUGUCCAACGUUAAUCGGGGCAGGGUGAGUCGACCCCUAAGGCGAGGCCGAAAGGCGUAGUCGAUGGGAAACAGGUUAAUAUUCCUGUACUUGGUGUUACUGCGAAGGGGGGACGGAGAAGGCUAUGUUGGCCGGGCGACGGUUGUCCCGGUUUAAGCGUGUAGGCUGGUUUUCCAGGCAAAUCCGGAAAAUCAAGGCUGAGGCGUGAUGACGAGGCACUACGGUGCUGAAGCAACAAAUGCCCUGCUUCCAGGAAAAGCCUCUAAGCAUCAGGUAACAUCAAAUCGUACCCCAAACCGACACAGGUGGUCAGGUAGAGAAUACCAAGGCGCUUGAGAGAACUCGGGUGAAGGAACUAGGCAAAAUGGUGCCGUAACUUCGGGAGAAGGCACGCUGAUAUGUAGGUGAAGUCCCUCGCGGAUGGAGCUGAAAUCAGUCGAAGAUACCAGCUGGCUGCAACUGUUUAUUAAAAACACAGCACUGUGCAAACACGAAAGUGGACGUAUACGGUGUGACGCCUGCCCGGUGCCGGAAGGUUAAUUGAUGGGGUCAGCGCAAGCGAAGCUCUUGAUCGAAGCCCCGGUAAACGGCGGCCGUAACUAUAACGGUCCUAAGGUAGCGAAAUUCCUUGUCGGGUAAGUUCCGACCUGCACGAAUGGCGUAAUGAUGGCCAGGCUGUCUCCACCCGAGACUCAGUGAAAUUGAACUCGCUGUGAAGAUGCAGUGUACCCGCGGCAAGACGGAAAGACCCCGUGAACCUUUACUAUAGCUUGACACUGAACAUUGAGCCUUGAUGUGUAGGAUAGGUGGGAGGCUUUGAAGUGUGGACGCCAGUCUGCAUGGAGCCGGCCUUGAAAUACCACCCUUUAAUGUUUGAUGUUCUAACGUUGACCCGUGAUCCGGGUUGCGGACAGUGUCUGGUGGGUAGUUUGACUGGGGCGGUCUCCUCCUAAAGAGUAACGGAGGAGCACGAAGGUUGGCUAAUCCUGGUCGGACAUCAGGAGGUUAGUGCAAUGGCAUAAGCCAGCUUGACUGCGAGCGUGACGGCGCGAGCAGGUGCGAAAGCAGGUCAUAGUGAUCCGGUGGUUCUGAAUGGAAGGGCCAUCGCUCAACGGAUAAAAGGUACUCCGGGGAUAACAGGCUGAUACCGCCCAAGAGUUCAUAUCGACGGCGGUGUUUGGCACCUCGAUGUCGGCUCAUCACAUCCUGGGGCUGAAGUAGGUCCCAAGGGUAUGGCUGUUCGCCAUUUAAAGUGGUACGCGAGCUGGGUUUAGAACGUCGUGAGACAGUUCGGUCCCUAUCUGCCGUGGGCGCUGGAGAACUGAGGGGGGCUGCUCCUAGUACGAGAGGACCGGAGUGGACGCAUCACUGGUGUUCGGGUUGUCAUGCCAAUGGCACUGCCCGGUAGCUAAAUGCGGAAGAGAUAAGUGCUGAAAGCAUCUAAGCACGAAACUUGCCCCGAGAUGAGUUCUCCCUGACUCCUUGAGAGUCCUGAAGGAACGUUGAAGACGACGACGUUGAUAGGCCGGGUGUGUAAGCGCAGCGAUGCGUUGAGCUAACCGGUACUAAUGAACCGUGAGGCUUAACCUUACAACGCCGAAGGUGUUU
rnacentral:rRNA from 1 species